GCCCGCGUAGCUCAGGGGAUAGAGCGACUGCCUCCUAAGCAGUAGGUCGCAGGUUCGAAUCCUGCCGCGGGUG
rnacentral:tRNA from 1 species